AAGCCUCGCUUUUUUGCUGGUAGACGCACACCAUCACAUCCUACAUAAUAUUUAGCUCUGAGGCGUUUCCAGAUGGGAAGUGCGUUUCUGUAUUUUCAUAGCCGUGUUCUCUACGUGAAUGGACUGGCGUGAAGCUGGGGGCUGACGGCUGGCAGGGCAGAACAACUUCCAGUAAAAGAAGGCACUGAGGUUUAAGUGCUACGUGGGAGCAGUUGCCGAUUUUUGCAAUGGGAGGCUGCAUAGAUUCAAGGACUUCCUUGAGUGCUCCAGGAGCUUGUCAUUCCAGAGACAGAGCAGCCCAGAAGUCCUGGGAUUUACACCUCUAGUAGAAACCCUCAACCAGAGAAGGAUGGAAGUCAAUGGGUGACCCUGCAGCCUGUGAGACCAUCUUGGCCCUUGUCAGGGCAGCCAUUUGCCAUUGCAGAUGAAGGGUGGGGGAGAGGCCAGAGACUCCUUCAGACUGUGUUGGAAAUGUCAUGAAAAUGGAAAUUCUCACAACCUGAGAGUCAUAGACCUGGAUUUGGGUUUCUGCUGUGUCAUUAAGUUCUUGCAAACCAG
rnacentral:lncRNA from 1 species